rnacentral:rRNA from 1 species
AUACCGUAUAAUCCCCGCGGGGGAAAGAUUUAUCGCUAUUAGAUGAGCCUAUGUCGGAUUAGCUAGUUGGUGGGGUAAUGGCCUACCAAGGCAGUGAUCUGUAGCUGGUCUGAGAGGAUGAUCAGCCACACUGGAACUGAGACACGGUCCAGACUCCUACGGGAGGCAGCAGUGGGGAAUAUUGGACAAUGGGCGCAAGCCUGAUCCAGCUAUGCCGCGUGAGUGAGGAAGGCCUUAGGGUUGUAAAACUCUUUCAGUAGGGAAGAUAAUGACGGUACCUACAGAAGAAGUCCCGGCAAACUCCGUGCCAGCAGCCGCGGUAAUACGGAGGGGGCAAGCGUUGUUCGGAAUUAUUGGGCGUAAAGGGCAUGUAGGCGGUUUGGUAAGUUAAAGGUGAAAUACCAGGGCUUAACCCUGGGGCUGCUUUUAAUACUGCAGGACUAGAGUCCGGAAGAGGAU